GUCAGUGACAACCUUGUUGACCUGUUGUGUGUGUUGGUGGGGAGAGAGUGUAGCUACAAAAGACCAAAAAAAGGCCAAACAAAGAAACAAUCCAGACAUUAGCAAUCUUGCCUGUCUAUUCACAAUGGCCUUCACACCCAUGUUAACUGUUCCAUAGUGCUGUGCUCCAUCUUAGGGGCUUGUCCAUCACCUCUCUUCCAGUGUAUAUUUAAAAAUUCAGUUUUUUCUUACCAUUGGUAAAUUCUUUUUAUUGUUCAUAUCACCAGCCUUCCAAAUGCUGUCUUGUAUGUCACAUAGAGAGAAGGCACACUUAGAUUGUUAGAUAACUGGAGACUCACUCUGACUCAUGACCAGGACAGCCUGAAGGUUUUCUUAGGCAUGAAAAUGAGCCAAGAAGCUAUCUCAUGAGCAGAUAAAAAUUAGCCCAGGAAGAAAGGUCAUUAUAUUUUUCCAAAAGAAGUUGGGCAGUCCCAAGGCAGCUGAGUGUGUCUGCUGGACUCACAUCAAUGUUCCAGGGGAGACUGAAGACAGGGUUUCUCUGUAGCCCUGGCUAUUGUGGAACUGGCUCUGCCUCUGGAGUGCUGGGAUUAAAGCACACCUUGGCUACUGCUAAGUGAUGGUGGAAGCUGAGGUGACCAGAAAGUUCCAGUUCCCAUUGAGCACCUCCACAAAUGCCUCUGCAACACUGUUGUGUCAUUACGGGGGAGUACCUAUCUGUUAUCUGUUCUUCUUGAAUUGUGACCCUAACUAAGCAUGCUCAGAUGCUUGAGUUGAACAUGCACUGGUUUGGGCCCUUCCCAAAUGCCCCCCCCAUAUCAAUAUGUUUAGGCCUCUAACAAUUCUUCACCCUUCCUUUGUUUGAGGCGAGCACUAUGCUCUCCUGCCUGUAGGUGAUAAACAUCCUUCACGGUUGUGUCCUGACUGUGAUUUUAAGUCUCGCACUUGAAGCUGCUCACACAGCCACAGCUGGGAUGCUGGUGCUAAGCUUGCUUCUUCGGUUUUCUCCAUUUUACUCAGUCCGGGACCCCAGACCAUGGAUGGUGCAACUGACUUUCAGUGCAAGUCUUCCUCACUCAGCUCAACACCCUCCUAAGACACAUCCAGAGGUGUGAUUCCAUAUCUCAGGUCACACUCUAUCACUGAGGAAAGUCAGGGCAGGACCCUGGAGACAGGAACUGAAGUAGAGGCCAUGGGAGAACGCUGCUUGCUGGCUUGCUUCUCAUGCCUUGUUCAGCCUACCUUCUGAUCGAUAUACCUCAAGACCGUCCCCCAUGGGCUGGGCCCCUUCACAUCAACCUGGAUGAAGGCAUUUUUCGCAACUGGGUCUCCCUUUUGCCAAAUGACUAAAGCAUUGAUUGGUCAAGUUGACAAGAUAACCAACACAUGAAGAAGAGAAAUGGGCCUAAUAAAAAAUUUGAAUCCCUG
rnacentral:lncRNA from 1 species